GACUUUAAGUUAAUAUAAACUAAAGACCUUCAAAGUCUUAAAUGACCUAUAGUCAAGUCUUG
rnacentral:tRNA from 1 species